rnacentral:tRNA from 1 species
GUGGUGGCUCAGUGGUAGAGCGCUUGCCUUGCAUGUGAAAGGAACUGGGUUCAAUUCUCAGCACCACA